GAUGAACCGCUGGCGGUCUGCUUAACACAUGCAAGUCGAACGAACUCUUCGGAGUGAGUGGCGGACGGGUGAGUAACGCGUGAGAAUCUGCCUGUGGGUCGGGGACAACCACUGGAAACGGUGGCUAAUACCGGAUGAGCCGAAAGGUAAAAAAUUUAUUGCCCACAGAUGAGCUCGCGUCUGAUUAGCUAGUUGGUAAGGUAAAAGCGUACCAAGGCGACGAUCAGUAGCUGGUCUGAGAGGAUGAGCAGCCACACUGGGACUGAGACACGGCCCAGACUCCUACGGGAGGCAGCAGUGGGGAAUUUUCCGCAAUGGGCGAAAGCCUGACGGAGCAAGACCGCGUGGGGGAGGAAGGUUUUUGGAUCGUAAACCCCUUUUGUCAAGGAAGAAGUUCUGACGGUACUUGACGGAUAAGCCUCGGCUAACUCCGUGCCAGCAGCCGCGGUAAUACGGAGGAGGCAAGCGUUAUCCGGAAUGAUUGGGCGUAAAGCGUCUGUAGGUGGCCAGCUAAGUCUGCUGUUAAAGAUCACAGCUCAACUGUGGGAAGGCAGUGGAAACUGGCAAGCUAGAGGCUGGUAGGGGUAAAGGGAAUUCCCGGUGUAGCGAUGAAAUGCGUAGAUAUCGGGAAGAACACCGGUGGCGAAAGCGCUUUACUGGGCCAGACCUGACACUGAAGGACGAAAGCUAGGGGAGCGAAAGGGAUUA
rnacentral:rRNA from 1 species